UACGUAGGGUGCGAGCGUUGUCCGGAAUUAUUGGGCGUAAAGGGCUCGUAGGCGGUUUGUCGCGUCGGGAGUGAAAACACGGGGCUUAACCCCGUGCCUGCUUCCGAUACGGGCAGACUAGAGGUAUGCAGGGGAGAACGGAAUUCCUGGUGUAGCGGUGAAAUGCGCAGAUAUCAGGAGGAACACCGGCGGCGAAGGCGGUUCUCUGGGCAUUACCUGACGCUGAGGCGCGAAAGCUAGGGGAGCAAACAGG
rnacentral:rRNA from 1 species